AUACAGAGGGUGCGAGCGUUAAUCGGAAUUACUGGGCGUAAAGCGCGCGUAGGCGGCUUAUUAAGUCAGAUGUGAAAUCCCCGGGCUCAACCUGGGAACUGCAUCUGAUACUGGUAAGCUAGAGUUUUAGAGAGGGAAGUAGAAUUUCAGGUGUAGCGGUGAAAUGCAUAGAGAUCUGAAGGAAUACCAGUGGCGAAGGCGACUUCCUGGCCAAAAACUGACGCUGAGGUGCGAAAGCGUGGGUAGCAAACGGAAUUAGAAACCCUAGUAGUCC
rnacentral:rRNA from 1 species